CAAUAGCGUAUAUUAAAGUUGUUGCAGUUAAAAGCUCGUAGUUGGAUUUCUGGCAGGAGCGACCGGUCGCACGCUAUGCGUGUGAACUUGUGUUGUCUCUGGCCAUCCUUGGGGAGAUCCCGUUUGGCAUUAAGUUGUCGGGCGGGGGAUACCCAUCGUUUACUGUGAAAAAUUAGAGUGUUCAAAGCAGGCGAUCGCUUGAAUACAUUAGCAUGGAAUAAUAGAAUAGGACUUUGGUUCUAUUUUUGUUGGUUUCUAGGACCGAAGUAAUGAUUAAUAGGGACAGUUGGGGGGCAUUAGUAUUUAAUUGUCAGAGGUGAAAUUCUUGGAUUUAUGAAAGACUAACUACUGCGAAAGCAUUUGCCAAGGAUGUUUUCAUUAAUCAAGAACGAAAGUUAGGGGAUCGAAGAUGAUUAGAU
rnacentral:rRNA from 1 species